ensembl:misc_RNA Metazoa_SRP Metazoan signal recognition particle RNA
UUUGGAAGAGAAUUUUAGAACAGCAGUUCAUUAUGCUGACUGGGUAUCCGCACUAAGUUUGGCAUAGAUACGGUGACCUCCUGGGAGUGGGGGACCACCAGGGUUGCCUAUGAAUGGGUGAACUGGCCCAGGUCAGAAAUGGAGCAUGUCAGAACUCCCAUGUUGAUUGGUAGUGGGACUGCACCUGAGCAACAUACGGAGACAUUGGCUUUUCAAAAAA